CUGAGAGGAUGACCAGCCACACUGGAACUGAGACACGGUCCAGACUCCUACGGGAGGCAGCAGUGGGGAAUAUUGCACAAUGGGCGCAAGCCUGAUGCAGCCAUGCCGCGUGUAUGAAGAAGGCCUUCGGGUUGUAAAGUACUUUCAGCGGGGAGGAAGGGAGUAAAGUUAAUACCUUUGCUCAUUGACGUUACCCGCAGAAGAAGCACCGGCUAACUCCGUGCCAGCAGCCGCGGUAAUACGGAGGGUGCAAGCGUUAAUCGGAAUUACUGGGCGUAAAGCGCACGCAGGCGGUUUGUUAAGUCAGAU
rnacentral:rRNA from 1 species